UUCCUUUGCACCUGAGUUUUCAGUGUGUCCAUUGCUAGCAACAGAGAGCCCGCCAGGAAAUUCCGACUCACGGCGUGAAAAUAUUAAAUUUAUAUGGGACAUAGAAGUUGCUUGAUCCUUCUUAGAAGUGUCCAGUGCUGUGGGAAGUUGCAGUUUCUUAUGAUGCUGACGUGGUCUUAAACAUUUUCUUCUGCAAUAAUACAAAAGGAGACACAGCAAGACUAGAAGUAUGAGAGCCAUCCCUCCUAAAAUUGCCAAAAGAAACAUUGUGUGAUAGCUGGUAAUGUCGUGCGUUACAACGGGACCUGGGAUAGUAGGUGACAUAGCUGCAACCCAGUAGCCCAGCUGAGGGGCAAUGUAAGUCCAAGUCAGCUGAUUUCCUUCCUGUUGCACAAGUCCCAAACUACUCUUCAGCCAUGUCCCAAAUUUUUGGUCAAACCUCCAUGCUGGAAUGUGUGCAUUGUGCUUCAAGUUGCUGUUUGUUGGCAGAGGCACUGUUACGUAGAUGGGGCCAUUCACUGGGACUGGAGUGCCAUCACUGUUGAGAAGAUGGACACUGACUGCAGCAACAGGGGUGAGGUCAUACCUCGUGCUGUUUCCUGUUCCAUUUCCAUCCAAUCCCUGCAAGUAAGGGAAACUGUCCACUUCCCACGGUGAACUGGCUGCGGUCAGAUAUGCUGU
rnacentral:lncRNA from 1 species